UCAUCUUCGGGGGUAGAGCACUGUUUCGACUAGGGGGUCAUCCCGACUUACCAACUCGAUGCAAACUGCGAAUACCGAAGAAUGUUAUCACGGGAGACACACGGCGGGUGCUAACGUCCGUCGUGAAGAGGGAAACAACCCAGACCGCCAGCUAAGGUCCCAAAGUCAUGGUUAAGUGGGAAACGAAGUGGGAAGGCUCAGACAGCCAGGAUGUUGGCUUAGAAGCAGCCAUCAUUUAAAGAAAGCGUAAUAGCUCACUGGUCGAGUCGGCCCGCGCGGAAGAUGUAACGGGGCUAAACCAUGCACCGAAGCUGCGGCAGCGACACAAAGUGUUGUUGGGUAGGGGAGCGUUCUGUAAGCCUGCGAAGGUGUACUGUGAGGUAUGCUGGAGGUAUCAGAAGUGCGAAUGCUGACAUAAGUAACGAUAAUGCGGGUGAAAAACCCGCACGCCGGAAGACCAAGGGUUCCUGUCCAACGUUAAUCGGGGCAGGGUGAGUCGACCCCUAAGGCGAGGCUGAAAAGCGUAGUCGAUGGGAAACGGGUUAAUAUUCCCGUACUGGUGGUAACUGCGAUGGGGGAACGGAGAAGGCUAGGUUGUCCGGGCGACGGUCGUCCCGGUUCAAGCAGGUAGGCAGAGUGAUUAGGCAAAUCCGGUCACUUAAUGCUGAGAUGUGAUGACGAACCACCAAGGUGGUGAAGCAAUUGAUGCCCCGCUUCCAGGAAAAGCCUCUAAGCUUCAGGUUACCAACAAUCGUACCCCAAACCGACACAGGUGGUCAGGUAGAGAAUACUCAGGCGCUUGAGAGAACUCGGGUGAAGGAACUAGGCAAAAUGGUGCCGUAACUUCGGGAGAAGGCACGCUGGCGGUAGGUAAAGUCCCUCGCGGACGGCGCUGAAGCCAGUCGAAGAUACCAGCUGGCUGCAACUGUUUAUUAAAAACACAGCACUGUGCAAACACGAAAGUGGACGUAUACGGUGUGACGCCUGCCCGGUGCUGGAAGGUUAAUUGAUGGGGUUAGCGCAAGCGAAGCUCCUGAUCGAAGCCCCAGUAAACGGCGGCCGUAACUAUAACGGUCCUAAGGUAGCGAAAUUCCUUGUCGGGUAAGUUCCGACCUGCACGAAUGGCGUAAUGAUGGCCAGGCUGUCUCCACCCGAGACUCAGUGAAAUUGAACUCGCUGUGAAGAUGCAGUGUACCCGCGGCAAGACGGAAAGACCCCGUGAACCUUUACUAUAGCUUGACACUGAACAUUGAGCCUUGAUGUGUAGGAUAGGUGGGAGGCUUUGAAGUGUGGACGCCAGUCUGCAUGGAGCCAACCUUGAAAUACCACCCUUUAACGUUUGAUGUUCUAACCUAGGCCCAUAAACUGGGUCGGGGACCGUGUCUGGUGGGUAGUUUGACUGGGGCGGUCUCCUCCUAAAGAGUAACGGAGGAGCACGAAGGUUGGCUAAGCAUGGUCGGACAUCAUGCGGUUAGUGCAAAGGCAUAAGCCAGCUUGACUGCGAGAGUGACGGCUCGAGCAGGUACGAAAGUAGGUCUUAGUGAUCCGGUGGUUCUGAAUGGAAGGGCCAUCGCUCAACGGAUAAAAGGUACUCCGGGGAUAACAGGCUGAUACCGCCCAAGAGUUCAUAUCGACGGCGGUGUUUGGCACCUCGAUGUCGGCUCAUCACAUCCUGGGGCUGAAGUAGGUCCCAAGGGUAUGGCUGUUCGCCAUUUAAAGUGGUACGCGAGCUGGGUUUAGAACGUCGUGAGACAGUUCGGUCCCUAUCUGCCGUGGGCGUUGGAAGAUUGAGAGGGGUUGCUCCUAGUACGAGAGGACCGGAGUGAACGCACCACUGGUGUUCGGGUUGUCAUGCCAAUGGCAUUGCCCGGUAGCUAAGUGCGGAAGAGAUAACCGCUGAAAGCAUCUAAGCGGGAAACUUGCCUCGAGAUGAGUCUUCCCUGUCGCUUUAAGCGACCUAAAGGAACGUUUAAGACUAAGACGUUGAUAGGCUGGGUGUGUAAGCGUAGCGAUACGUUGAGCUAACCAGUACUAAUGAACCGUGAGGCUUAACCUG
rnacentral:rRNA from 1 species